UGUCUCUGGCGAUGAAGUUGGAGGCGAACACCAUGACGGUAGCACUGUUGAAUGAUCCGAGCUGUUUGCCGUCAGGGCCAACGUCACUCGCAAUGUUGUUCCAGGAGAUUGAGGUUGUGGCUGCGCCUGCUCCUUGGAACGAACAGCGUCCACAGCAGCUUGCACACUCAAGAAAUCGCCUAAUCCGUUAGCAUCCACUACGAUUUGGCGCAAUGUCAUGGAACUCCCAGAUGAAGGUAUAUCAGUGGCGGGAUUUUCUUGCAACAGAUUCCGUUUGAAGGAAACGGCAUGAAGCAGAAGGGAGAGUUGGAAGACGCUCGUUGGGCUUUCAACGGCAGGCAGGGAGUGCCAUCAAUCAAAAGGACCGUUUGUCAGUUACGCAGCGUCCUUUCCCCAGCGCUGUUCACAGAUUCGUCCACAUACAACCAUCACCAGCACACACUUGUCCUGCUCUGAAGCUAACGUAGAGUUUGACAAUCCAUCCCUGCAGCUCAACGUGUGGUUGUUUAGAAUCGUUAGCCUCGUUUUACAGCCACUGCGGUGGUGAUUUUCCACUCGUAUGAUAACGAUUCAUUGAGGAGGAGGAGGAGAUCCUGAUUGGAUCAGCAAUUGACUUGAAUCCUCAAACAGACCAAUCUUGUGGUUCGUCCUCUUGGUUUAGAUUGAGGUCCGCCACAGAAUACCCGCCUUCACACAAAAUGCCGAGUGUAGGGAUAACAAUGAGCAUUGGGUAGUAAUUGCUGUCUGCAAGAGUGACUAUGAAGACGAAGGAUAAACCUCCUUCCAGAAGAAGAGAAAGAAGAUAGUCGACCAAAGUGGUGUGGAGUAAAACCUCGUACGCUGUUGAAAUGUGUUCCAGGGUGGCUUUCGAGGUCCACUGUAGUUUUCAUAUGACAGCAACGUUGGAAUUUAGAAGUCCGGGAGCGAGGCGAAAGUGUUACUGCAGGUUAUUAUGUUGAUGAUGGUAGUUGGGUGCAAUCGGAAUCGGAGCGUAAGAGGAGUUUGAUAAACGAUUUGAUGGCAGUUUCCAGCUGCUUGAGUUGCCAUUGGCGUUUCAGACAGGAAGGGGGAUGGUUUGUUCAAUGGUACAGAAAAAUUGAGCUGCGGGUGGAGAGGAGAUCAGGAUGUUCGAGGGACAAAGUGUUCGUGGAAUUAGGGUUAGGGCUCCACGGAUGUACUUGUCAGGCAGCUGAGAACUACGAACCUGGAUACAAGCGGAGUGCUCUCAUUGAGGCGGAUUUCGAGAAACAGGGAGAGUAAAGCUAUAUUGCUGAAGCUUGUGACGAUGAGAGACAUGCGUGGAAUGCCUGGCAAGCGCCGAAGAAUGUGGUUCUUGUUCUGCUAUGUUUCAUUGUAAGAGGUGUGGCGAGUCGUGCGGGGGGCACGGUCGGUGGGCUGGACUAGUAGUGCGAUGUGUGCGUGCGGUGCAUCGGGGGUGGUGGAUUAGGAAGUCGUCCGCAUCCAUUAUAGACUAGAUGGUUAGGAGAGUUAAGAAGAGCGAGAGCAAAGGAGCUGCGGAGGUAGAGUGGGAGCGAUGGCGGCGACACAAUUGCGAAUAGGUUUGGUUUAGCAGCGCUCUAAUCUUUGCUUAAUGUAGUAUUAGCAACUGGUUACGAAUAUCUAGUUUACAGAACUAGGGCUUGAGUACACCCUUGCCUCAUACAACCAAAGUGCAAUGACCAUUUUUGCAUGAACAUGAGGCACUAAAGUCAAUAACCAAGGGUGUUGCUCCUCCAAUGGCGAAGCAGCGCCUCCAUAUUAGGUCACACCUCAUCGACCCGGAAAAAGCAAGAGCACCUUUUUCUGGGUCACUCCUCAUCUAAAGAUUAUGGUAUCUAGGCACAACAAAGUAUUGUUUAUCCAGGAAGAGUCCUUCUAUGCAUGUUAGAUUGCAAGCCUUAGGAUUAAGAUAAUUAUCAAUGACAUUUUCAAGGUGCCAGACAUGAUUGAUCUUCUAGGUCCAAUCCAAAUACUAUACUUAACUACAAAGUUAUUGCCCCUA